rnacentral:ncRNA from 1 species
AAAGAUAGAGGCGCAGCGAAGAUGAGUACCCCCUGCCGAGGCCGGCGGGCCGCUCCAUAAGGCAGGCGGGAAAGGCGACGCUGCCGAAGACUGCCGUCCGGCGGGGCGGCCGUCUGAUUGCAUGGUAAAGAGCCAUGCAAUUGUCAUCAUUGUUCUAUGAUGGAGUGCUAUCA